rnacentral:rRNA from 1 species
UUGUGUGUUAGUGGAACGGUCUGGAAAGUCCGACGGUACAGGGUGAUAGUCCCGUACACGAAAAUGCACAUGCUGUGAACUCGAAGAGUAGGGCGGGACACGUGGUAUCCUGUCUGAAUAUGGGGGGACCAUCCUCCAAGGCUAAAUACUCCUGACUGACCGAUAGUGAACCAGUACCGUGAGGGAAAGGCGAAAAGAACCCCGGCGAGGGGAGUGAAAAAGAACCUGAAACCGUGUACGUACAAGCAGUGGGAGCCUCUUUAUGGGGUGACUGCGUACCUUUUGUAUAAUGGGUCAGCGACUUAUAUUCUGUAGCAAGGUUAACCGUAUAGGGGAGCCGAAGGGAAACCGAGUCUUAACUGGGCGUUAAGUUGCAGGGUAUAGACCCGAAACCCGGUGAUCUAGCCAUGGGCAGGUUGAAGGUUGGGUAACACUAACUGGAGGACCGAACCGACUAAUGUUGAAAAAUUAGCGGAUGACCUGUGGCUGGGGGUGAAAGGCCAAUCAAACCGGGAGAUAGCUGGUUCUCCCCGAAAGCUAUUUAGGUAGCGCCUCGUGAACUCAUCUUCGGGGGUAGAGCACUGUUUCGGCUAGGGGGCCAUCCCGGCUUACCAACCCGAUGCAAACUACGAAUACCGAAGAAUGUUAUCACGGGAGACACACGGCGGGUGCUAACGUCCGUCGUGAAGAGGGAAACAACCCAGACCGCCAGCUAAGGUCCCAAAGUCAUGGUUAAGUGGGAAACGAUGUGGGAAGGCACAGACAGCCAGGAUGUUGGCUUAGAAGCAGCCAUCAUUUAAAGAAAGCGUAAUAGCUCACUGGUCGAGUCGGCCUGCGCGGAAGAUGUAACGGGGCUAAACCAUGCACCGAAGCUGCGGCAGCGACACUAUGUGUUGUUGGGUAGGGGAGCGUUCUGUAAGCCGUUGAAGGUGUGCUGUGAGGCAUGCUGGAGGUAUCAGAAGUGCGAAUGCUGACAUAAGUAACGAUAAAGCGGGUGAAAAGCCCGCUCGCCGGAAGACCAAGGGUUCCUGUCCAACGUUAAUCGGGGCAGGGUGAGUCGACCCCUAAGGCGAGGCCGAAAGGCGUAGUCGAUGGGAAACAGGUUAAUAUUCCUGUACUUGGUGUUACUGCGAAGGGGGGACGGAGAAGGCUAUGUCAGCCGGGCGACGGUUGUCCCGGUUUAAGCAUGUAGGCGGAGGUUCCAGGUAAAUCCGGUACCUUGUUAACGCUGAGGUGUGAUGACGAGGCACUACGGUGCUGAAGUGAUAAAUGCCCUGCUUCCAGGAAAAGCCUCUAAGCAUCAGGUAACACGAAAUCGUACCCCAAACCGACACAGGUGGUCAGGUAGAGAAUACCAAGGCGCUUGAGAGAACUCGGGUGAAGGAACUAGGCAAAAUGGUGCCGUAACUUCGGGAGAAGGCACGCUGAUAUGUAGGUGAAGCCCCUGCGGGCGGAGCUGAAAUCAGUCGAAGAUACCAGCUGGCUGCAACUGUUUAUUAAAAACACAGCACUGUGCAAACACGAAAGUGGACGUAUACGGUGUGACGCCUGCCCGGUGCCGGAAGGUUAAUUGAUGGGGUUAGCGGCAACGCGAAGCUCUUGAUCGAAGCCCCGGUAAACGGCGGCCGUAACUAUAACGGUCCUAAGGUAGCGAAAUUCCUUGUCGGGUAAGUUCCGACCUGCACGAAUGGCGUAAUGAUGGCCAGGCUGUCUCCACCCGAGACUCAGUGAAAUUGAACUCGCUGUGAAGAUGCAGUGUACCCGCGGCAAGACGGAAAGACCCCGUGAACCUUUACUAUAGCUUGACACUGAACACUGGUCCUUGAUGUGUAGGAUAGGUGGGAGGCUUUGAAGCGUGGACGCCAGUCUGCGUGGAGCC